rnacentral:lncRNA from 1 species
GGCAGUGACUCAGCUGUGGCCUGGGGUGGGGGUGACCAGGCUAUUUUGGGGGAAUGAAUAAGGAGGGGCAUUUGAUACCUGGAUGACCCUGCCUCUAAUCCUCUGAAUCCCCUUUCUCUAGGCUGGGCUGGUUUCUUGUGUGGAUGCCAUGUACACCAUCGUGUGGGGUCAGAGCCCUCUGAGAGGAGCCCAGCCUUCCUCCCUCCUCAUUCCCCUGUCUUCAUUCCAGAGAGAAGGGUUGGGGAAUUUCUGAAUAACCGCCCCCAGCUCCUCAAGAGGGCCCUAGUUUCCACACUAUUCUCUAGGUCCUUGUCCACUUCUGGACUCUUCCCUGUGACUCAGGGCCUAGACUCUCUGGGAAUGGAGAGGAGAGGAAUGUGGCACAAGGGAGCUGACUUCGGGGCUAUUUCUGACUCUGGAGUCAUCAGCUGCUCAGUCACAGACGAGGGUGGCAGUGAGGUAGGGGUAUCACAUUUGCCUCCUCUUUUGCUCCCUGGAAGAGCCUGAGGGACCUGGUGGGCUUCAGAGAUGCGGGCACUUGGACCGGUCUACAGUGUACACCUUGGCGGAAUCGUCCCCUUAGAUGAGAACCGAAAGGGCUGCUGAAUCCUGGAGACUGGAGCAUUUGUAAAGAAUAGAGGCUUGUUUCACCGCAUAGUUCUGUAGGCUGGAAGAUCAGGGGCUGCAUCUGGCUGGAUCAUAACACAAGAG